UGGGGAAUAUUGCACAAUGGGCGCAAGCCUGAUGCAGCCAUGCCGCGUGUAUGAAGAAGGCCUUCGGGUUGUAAAGUACUUUCAGCGGGGAGGAAGGGAGUAAAGUUAAUACCUUUGCUCAUUGACGUUACCUGCAGAAGAAGCACCGGCUCACUCCGCGCCAGCAGCCGCGGAAACACGGAGGGUGCAAGCGUUAAUCGGAAUUACUGGGCGUAAAGCGCACGCAGGCGGUUUGUUAAGUCAGAUGUGAAAUCCCCGGGCUCAAACUGGGAACUGCAUCUGAUACUGGCAAGCUUGAGUCUCGUAGAGGGGGGUAGAAUUCCAGGUGUAGCGGUGAAAUGCGUAGAGAUCUGGAGGAAUACCGGUGGCGAAGGCGGCCCCCUGGACGAAGACUGACGCUCAGGUGCGAAAGCGUGGGGAGCAAACAGG
rnacentral:rRNA from 1 species